rnacentral:piRNA from 1 species
UGAAGUAGUUAGUUCAAAUAA